ensembl:lncRNA
UCGCCGUGCGCCCGGCGACCGGUCGCCGUGAGACGGUCGGUGGCGUGUGCGGGGGUGGAGCCGCGACCGGCUCGGCGAGGACGCGGGCUCGGCCUCGACGAGGCGUCGCCGUGGGUCCGUCGCCGACGGCGGGUCCGGGCGGAAGGCCGGGCUCCCCGAGGCGGUCGUUUCCCCGGCGACCUCGCGGGUGACCGGUGCCGCGUCCCCGCGGCCCUUGUGACGCCGCCUCCCCGCGCCGGGGUUGGCCGUCCGCCACGUUCGCGUGCCGCCCGUCUCGAGUUUUCUCCCUCCGCCCGGCUUCUCCGAUCCCGGGGGCUCGCUUUCCCGCUCGUCGCGUGUCGCCCGCCGUGGUGGGGACCGCGGCGGCGGCCCCGGGUCGGCGCGGACCCGGGUCCUCCGGCCCGUCCGUCGCGGGAGUCGUCGUCGCCGGCCGGCGUGGCGUCGUGCCCGCCUCGCGCGUGCGGGUCGUUCGGAGGGGGGCGCCCGGGAGGAGGGCGGGGUUUCGGCCCCGCUCCUCCCCCGACCCCCGCCCCGCCCUCCCCGCCGCGCGUGGCGAGUCGUCCCCGUCGACCGGCGGCGAGCGCCCUGCGGCGCGAUCGGCGCCGGCCGGUCCCCGCGGCCCGCGUCCUUCCCCGCCCGCCGCCGCCGCCGCCGCGGUACGCGGGGUGCGGCCCGCGCCCCCCUCACCCGUCGGGCCGCGGUCGGCGGUCGCCGCGCCCCUUCCGCCCCGCCGCUCCGCGCCGCCCUCGCGCGCGCCUCGCCCCGCGGCCCCGGUCCCGGGGUGCGUCCCGGCGGAGCGAGCCCGUCCGCCCGGCGGCGGUAGACGGACGGACGGACCGACGGACGGACGGCGGGUGUCGCGGUCGGGUCGCCGACCGGCGCGCGCCCGUCCGCCUCCGCCUCCGCCGCCUCCCCCGCCCGCCCGCCCGCCCGCGCCUCUCCGCGGGGCGAGACCAGACCUCGCCGUCGGGCCCCGGCCCCCGUCCGUCUGUCCCGGGCGCUCGGCUUCCCGGUCCCCGGCUCCCCUCGCUCGCUCGCGCUCCCCUACCUGGUUGAUCCUGCCAGUAGCAUAUGCUUGUCUCAAAGAUUAAGCCAUGCAUGUCUAAGUACGCACGGCCGGUACAGUGAAACUGCGAAUGGCUCAUUAAAUCAGUUAUGGUUCCUUGGUCGCUCGCUCCUCUCCUACUUGGAUAACUGUGGUAAUUCUAGAGCUAAUACAUGCCGACGGGCGCUGACCCCCUUCGCGGGGGGAAUGCGUGCAUUUAUCAGAUCAAAACCAACCCGGUGAGCUCCCUCCCCGGCCCCGGCCGGGGGGUGCGGGCGCCGGCGCUCUGGUGACUCUAGAUAACCUCGGGCCGAUCGCACGCCCCCCGUGGCGGCGACGACCAUUCGAACGUCCCCUAUCAACUUUCGAUGGUAGUCGCCGUGCCACCAUGGACACGGGUGACGGGAAUCAGGGUUCGAUUCCGGAGAGGGAGCCUGAGAAACGGCUACCACAUCCAAGGAAGGCAGCAGGCGCGCAAAUUACCCACUCCCGACCCGGGGAGCGUAGUGACGAAAAAUAACAAUACAGGACUCUUUCGAGGCCCUGUAAUUUUGGAAUGAGUCCCACUUUUAAAUUCCUUUCGCGAGAUCCAUUUGGGGGCAAGUCUGGUGCCAGCAGCCGCCAGCGGUAAUUCCAGCUCCAUUAGCGUAUUUAAAAGUUGCUGAACGUUAAAAAGCUCGUAGUUGGAUCUUGGGAGCGCGGCG